UCUGGUGGAGGGAGGGAGCGAGAGAGGGAGAGGGAGAGGACGACAGGAAACGACAGUUUUAAGAGCAGGGAGUUUAUCUCCAGCGAAGAGAGCUCCUCAGAGUCAGACAGAGGCAAGGGUAAACGCAAACGCAAGGGUUCAGAUGAGGAGGAGGUGGCCUCGACCCCACCCAGUUCUGACUCAGGAUCAGACUGAGGCGCGCCUGAGAGGAGAGAGAGAGGGAAGGACAUGGAGAGGGUAAAGUGUGGAGGGGGGUUGUGAACUCUCUACCGCCCUCCGUUCCUCUCUCUCAUACGCUCGUUCUAUUCUAUUUUAAAGCACAGGAAUCAAGUAUGAAGAUAAUUCAUACCGAUGUAUUCAAAGAAUAUUCUGUCCAGGAAUUGUAAAACUAUCCCCCUCAUCUCAGGAAGCGAAAAAUUGUAUUUAAUGAUUUUAGCCCAGUGCAAAAAUCCCAUAACCUGAGCAGUGUCAUGACUACAUUUCCCAGCUACACAUGCAUGACACUGUCUGUUGGUUUAGGCUGUGAACAACUCAGGUAAAAACCCUUGCCUGCUGUGAAAUGUAGUUUUCCAGAAUAUUACUGAAUUAAAUAUUAUAAGUAAA